rnacentral:rRNA from 1 species
GACGGAGGGUGCAAGCGUUGUUCGGAAUUACUGGGCGUAAAGCGCGUGUAGGCGGCUCUGCAAGUCGGAUGUGAAAGCCCUGGGCUCAACCUAGGAAGUGCACUCGAAACUGCAGAGCUUGAGUCUCGGAGAGGAUCGCGGAAUUCUCGGUGUAGAGGUGAAAUUCGUAGAUAUCGAGAGGAACACCGGUGGCGAAGGCGGCGAUCUGGACGAUGACUGACGCUGAGACGCGAAAGCGUGGGGAGCAAACAGG